rnacentral:rRNA from 1 species
AAGUUUGAUGGCGACCGGCGCACGGGUGAGUAACACGUAGUCCAACCUGCCGAUGACUCGGGGAUAGCCUUUCGAAAGAAAGAUUAAUACCCGAUGGCAUAGUUCUUCCGCAUGGUAGAACUAUUAAAGAAUUCGGUCAUCGAUGGGGAUGCGUUCCAUUAGGUUGUUGGCGGGGUAACGGCCCACCAAGCCUUCGAUGGAUAGGGGUUCUGAGAGGAAGGUCCCCCACAUUGGAACUGAGACACGGUCCAAACUCCUACGGGAGGCAGCAUG